GCUUGAAGGGAGAAGUAUUUGCAAAACUCUUAACGUCUCCUCGAACUCCAAAAACAAAAAGAAAGUUCCAGUAACUCAAUCUAUCCUCGACAAGAAAUCCAAUUCAAAACAAACCUUAAAAACCCUACAAUCUCAUGCCACUCCAGCUGCCUUACUUUUCUCUUCAGUAUUGUUGAAAUAAAUUGAAACUAUCCAGAAGCUUCUCUCUCGAUUCCCCUUCUUUGUUGCCGCCCUUUUUGCGAUUUUUAUUGUUGUUGAAAAUAGAGAGAGGUUCAAUUGAAAAUUCUCGAACUUCCCAGAGAUGGAGUUAGUCGCCAGAUGAAGCGAGAAGAUUUAACGAGGAAGAGGAAGGGUUUUCGAUUGGUUGUAAGAGGAGGGAAAGCCAGGAAAGAAUUUGCUGUCUUACUGCGAAGGUGUAGAGCUGCUAUUGUUAUACAAAAGUAGAUUAAAGGCAGGAAUGCUAGGAAAACAUUCAAGAACAUUAAUGAAGCUUCACUUUUGAUAAAAUCAGUAAUUCAUGGCUGGUUGGUCAGAAGAUGCUCUGGAGAUAUAGGAUUAGUCAAAUCUGGGGCCUCUAAGGCAUGGUGAUGCUAAAGUUGCAGCAAAAGGUGGAAAAAGUUUUUCAGCUGUUGAAGAUGACAUGGCAGAUGUGUAUCCAUUGCAGCUAAGACUUUCUAUUCCACAGGAAGUUGGGAGUAAAAAUUAGCAAAAAGGACAAUGCAGUGGAACUUUUCAGAAGAGCCUACAAAAUUUUUAGUGCAGACUCUGAGCACUUUUGCCGGGCUGACAACUCUAUAUUUUGUGAAUGAGAGAAAUAGAUUUCUCAAAGACUGUCAACGCCAAUCAAAUUGGGAAGUAGGAGGUCAUGAAAGAGAAGAGGCCUUUCACACAUGUGAACACAUUUCUUUCGGGGACAGAGGUUGCAGCUGAAACUGCUGCUACUGUGGCUUCAGUAUCUUUGGUGUUUAAGACAGCUGGCUCCACAUAUUCAAGCACGCAUCUUAAGCAUGCCAAGCAACUUUUUAAUUUUGCAUACAAAUAUAGGGCUCUUCAAUGUGCAUGCAGCAAUUUUGAUAUGGAAGAUUGAUAAAUUGGAUUUUGUUGCAUGCCUGGGAGCCUUUCUUGGCGUAGUCUAUUCAUCAGUUGAGAUAGACCUCCUUUCCGAAUUGCUAUCCGCUACCUAAAAUUCCUGAAGAUGAAUUACAUUCUACUAUAUGUUUUACUUAAUUCUUUUGUCACUUAACUCCAGGGCUGGUCUCUAUAUUUUUUGCUAAAAUCCUCUUACAAGUUACUAGGCCUCGAACUGCUAUUCUUGGGAACCUACCUAGGACUAUCUCGCUGCGAAGUGCAGAUUUUUUUAUCUAAUAAAAAUUAAAGAAUUAAUUAAAAAUUUUAAAAGAA